rnacentral:lncRNA from 10 species
ACUCUUUCCCACACAGGAAGUCAGCUAGAGAGCCGUCUCCCCUCUCUGGAGCCGAGAGAGGCCGGUUUCCCCCACCAACACUGAAGAUUCUGCUCUCAGGGUGUUGAUUGACGUCUGGAAGGCAGAGACUCGUGGAUUAGCAAGCAUGUGUAAGAAAGUGCUCUGGAUGCCACAGGGUGGUAAUUUGUGCAUGGAAAAUGGCUGGGGUGAAGAGGAGACUAGGGUCUCACAUGAGUACUUCACAAUGGGGAAACUGAACUGGAACUCUACUGACAACGCAGUUGGGAGUUCAAACUUAAUAACCUUCCAGAGUUGGUAUCAAAUUCAGACGCUGACGCUCCUUGGAGAGGUUCUUUGCUGCAAGAGGAUGGAAAGGAUCACUGUGAUUUUGUUUUUCUCCUGCUGCUCUGUCUGGAAGCCAUGUGAGGAGGACAUCUGAGCAGCCCUGUGGAGAGGCCCCCAGCCAACAGCCAGCAUGAACUUGCUGGGCAUGUGAGUGCACCACCUUGAAAGUAGAGCCUCAACCCCUGGUCAAGCCAUCAGGGAGAGCUCAAGCUGGCCUGUUGGAAGAUGACAGGCCAUAUGCAACAGACGUGAAGUGUCCCAGCUGAUCCCCUUCCAGAACACCCACCUUCCAGAUGACCACAGAUGCAAGGGUGAGCCAGCCAAUAGCUGCUGAGACAUUCCCAGAAAGACAGAACAUCCAGCUGACCCAUGGACUCAUGGGCGAUCAUGGAUAAAUGGAUAUUGUUUCAAGCUACUAGGUUUGGGGUUGGUUUGUUACGCAGCAAUAGCUAACAGCUACACCUCUAUUUUAAGGAGUUGUGAAGAUAAAUUGCAAAGGUACAGAAAAAUGAAUAGCUAUAACAGCUACUAGUGAUUGAGUGCUGGCUCUGCCUGGUACUGUGCUCAGGAUUGGCAUGCAUUAUCUCAAAGAGUUGCACAGGCUAGAAGGGCUGCAGCUGAAGAUUCUAGAAGAGUUCAGGUAUAAUGCCUGGCACAUGGUACCUGUUUCAUGUAUGCUAGUUGUUGGAUGCUGCUGAUGCUGGCAGCACGUGGAACUCCUGACACAUGCCUCUGAUUUGGUAGUGGGGUCUGAACUUUGUAAUCUGUGUGUCCAGAGACCUUGGGAAGUCUUCAGCCAAGGGCAGACCAGGAGGUAGCUUUUGUGAUCUGAGUGCAGAGAAGUUUCUUAGAGUGAAUGGCAUCCAGAUAGGGUG